GUCGGGGAAGGGUUCAUGUAUCUGCUCAGCAACCGACAGUACAUGUUUUUCAUUACCGAUACGUGCCGCCCACUUGUUACCGGAAUGUAACAGGCUGCCUGCUACCGUGGACGCGCGAAUAUGUCUCCGCAAGUCACCCUCUUUUUCACCACUGCAACGGUGAGCAAUCUCGGACAAUGUGAUACGUGUUACUAGAGGCUGCGGCCAUGUCGGGAUUCUGCUUAGCGAUUGUCGUAACGAGGAAAGUGACUGUUGCAUUGGUGUGACAACCGCCGGAAGUACCGUCAUGGGAUAGCUUGUACGAGCUGUUGGUCUAAACAAUUAGACUAACGGCGACUGAAGCGCUGCGCCACUUCUGCCGUGUGGCACUUACGAGUGUUGCCCUUUAAGCACUUGUGGCGCUCGAGGUUCAACUCGAUAAAUGAGCAGGAAUGAGCGGAAACAGGGUGCCACUGAGGACGGAAGCAUACAUUCGUCCUUCUUCUGAAGUCCCUCUGGGGAAACUGCGGAGUCGUGGAAAGACAAGGACGCGCUCCCUAUGGCUGGCGACAGGACACAGUAAAGUAAUUGUAGCUAUGUGGUAGCGUAGAACAAAAGAAGUACGCCGAGGGAAUCGCCCUUACCUCGUGAUUUGCAAUGAGGGUUUCAAUAAAGAUACUUUGUUUUUGUUCCGAUGCGCGUGUAUUGUGCAAUUAUGCACCAAAAGCAUGAUCUGGACUAACCCACCUCAACAGAUAAACUGGCAGCUUGCCCGUUUUCCUGACAUCGUGUACGUGCUGCAGCUGUUGCGCUGUGCCUCGUCGUGCAAUGCCAGAGUAGAGAUAAUCUCCUUAGAAACAUUUGGCUGUGCCAAGGCGGUUUGACUAGAUGUGACUACAUGUAGAACGGAACAGCUCGCCUAAUUAAGGGAAAUGUAGAUCAGUAACUUGCUGCCAUCUGGGCGCUGCAGCUGUCGAAAGCACAUGUUUGACUCAGUCACUCCCUUCGUGUACGAAGCGCUGAAUUCACUUCAGAGCUUCAGUAGCCGUCUCGGACACUGAGAGCUAGGCCUCUGGACAUUUCAAAAGAUCCUGCACCAUAAUUUCCAUAUGCUCCGUUGAGGAAGUGUUAGUGAAGUGCAUUAUACGAGGGAAGUAUCGUGGCCUGAGUGAACUGACAGUGGUGGCAUGAAGGAGAUUUGGAGCGAUCUUUAUGGCGCAAAAGGGAUGCUAAGUACUUGCCUGACAAAGUAAUACGACGUCGCAUGCCGCUCUUGACACUUAUGAAGGUGUCCUAAUGUGGUCAUUGACUGGAUGGCGCUUUCUGGUUCAGCUGUGGCCUACAUGUGUAACGGAACCUGGUCACGAGCCAACAUGUGUACCACCUGGUUUGUGAUGGGGCUCGACUUGAAUACGUAUCAAACGAGAGCAUUAUGUUGCUAUUCACCUCUUAACAGAGAGACACGCUGUCUUCCAGCGUUAGCCGGGGCCGCCCAUUCAGGUCGUUGGCGUACAACAACCUGGUGCCACUACC
rnacentral:lncRNA from 1 species